GCACUAUUGAAGAGUCCCACGAUAGGAUGAAACAGCCGUCCAGUAC
rnacentral:hammerhead_ribozyme from 1 species